UCCCCAACCAGUUCUUCCCCAAAUCGAACCCUCGAGAGCCCUCCUCCUCCACCGACGCCGCCGCCGCCGACACUCCCUCUGCCCUCGACCGCGCCCUCCACCACCGACCCCUCUGCCCUCGAACGCGCCCUCCACCAUCGACUCCCCCGCUGACCUGUGCGACCCCCACCCAUAUCGAUGACGCCGCUGCGUAGAGGUCAACCUCGCCUCCCUCCACACGCCUCUGGUUUCGCUCCCUUCGGCACCGCCACAAGGGCUGGUCAACGGGGCCGGUGCGUCGAGGUCGACGUCGCCUUUCUCCCCACCACGUCUCCCACCACCCUGACGACGAGUGCGGUGUCUGCUCCCCACUACGCUAGUACAACAUGGUGCUCAGAUCUGUCAUGGAGGAAGCGCGAUGCAGGUGCUACCAGUGAAAGGAUUGGGGAUUGGUUCUAGCAGUUGUAGGUUUGUUUGGAAUUCAUAAUGCUCAUAAUUUGCAAAGGCUAUCAGCCAGGUUAUUGUACACGUACUCUUGUAUUUCAUUUUCUUAUCUUAAUAAGUUAAUAUGCAUGUAUAUGUGCCUAUGAUUUGUAAAAUGUAAUGUUCUUCUAUCCAUCCAAUUUUAGCGAUGUGGACGGGUCUUUGUUUAUUCAGGUUCAGACAUUGCACAACUGAAGGCAAGUGUUUCACAGCUUGAGAAAGUUUACUCACUAAUGGCUGACUGUAUACAACUCUAGAAAGUUUCUUGUGCUAGCAUCUACAAGAACUAAAUUAUAGACAUGAGUGCUGAUUUGAUAUUGAAAAUUGCUCUACAAAAUUAACUACUUUUACUUCCCUGAUUUAUCAUCUAUCGAAUUGUUUCAUAGCAGUUCAGUGGUGCCCUAUCUGAAUUCUCAACCUGCAUGAAACAUUGCACUGGGCAGAAAAUAAUUGUAGAAAGGAAUGUCGUAAGUGGCUGGCACUGCCAUCAGGCUAUCACACACUGCACUAAAUUGGGCUUGUUGGACCAUGCAGGGCAUCUGCACCAGAUAAUAGAAGCCCUGCAAGGGCCAACACGGCUAUGGUUUGCUUGUGAGGAGGGGUUGAUUUCUUGAGUUGCAGCCUGAAUGAUAUGUAUCUUAUGAUACAGAGGAAAGAAAAACAAUAUGUUUCUUACCUUGUUGGUUGGUUGUCUACACGCACAUUUCCUAUGAACCAUGCCUUAAUAAUCGAGCCGCCACUGUAAUCUCACAUCGUGAUCAGUCCUCACUUGAUGAAGUAGCAUACCAACAAGUUAGUUAAUUUUCUGAAGUUCCUGGAAUAAUUUUUUGACGCUGCCUGCUUCGGUACACUUUAUUCUUAACCAUUGGUUGAUCUAAGCUCUUUUUUUACAAGAACACGUCGAUGCAUAGCAUUAAACGCUUGCCGAAAAGAGUCCACAGCUCCUUGCACUCAAGCAUUAUAUUGUCUGACCUCCUAAGGGUCGUUGAGGAGUUGGCAUAUAAUAGCAGCGACACAAAUGAUUAAAAGAUCGAUGUUUCAGUAAAUGUCAGAGGAUGUUACAUUAAAGUGGAAGAUGAGCUAUUGCAGGUUGGGGUAUUGCUUGAGAUGAAUUGUUUCUAUUGGGAGAAAAAUAUGGUACUCCCUCCUUCCAUCUAUAUAGGGCCUAAUGCGGUUUUUAAGACCGUCUUUGACUAUUGACAAGAUUAAUAGUAUAUGACAUGCACAAUGUGAAAAUUAUAUCAUUGAAAGCUCCUUUCACACACGAAUUUAACGGUGUGCUUUGUGUAAGUUGCAUGUCAUAUAUUAUUGCUCUAAUAUUUGGUCAAAGUUAACCUCGAAAAACGCAUUAGGCCCUAUAUAGAUGGAAGGAGGGAGUAAGUCAUAUCUUUGGGUGCUUUUCUGAAUUCAUGGAUAUCAGAAUGAGAUUGUUCUCAUAUAGAAAGGACUGCCUGAUUUGCUUCAUAAAAGUAAUAAUGGAACUGACAUCCAUUCUAUGAUAGUUGACCUCGAUAAUUGAUAUUUAAAGGAGAUAUUAUGCUUAUUCUACCUGGAAUUCUGAUUUCUUCUGCUAGUGUUUCUUUAUCUUGGGCAUCGAGGGUCUGGAGUGUGUUCAUGCUGCACAUCGGCGCAUCGUGUGAUUAUCAUGCGUUCUUCAAUGGGGUCGGACCUCAACAGGAGUAUGCAACUAUGAGCCGUGAUGAGUGCCCGUCUACUACGCCCACGGCAUGCCGUAUUGAGCGAGCCGUUGCUUCCUUCUUUUCUUUUCCUUUUUGAUCGAAGUUCACCGCCUACAACGCCCACGAUAUGGCAUGUUGACCAUGCCCUUGCCGCUGUUUUUUCCCUUUGUGAAUGAACAUAGUUGCCACUGCUUUUUUCUAUGGGACGCUGCUCUUUUAUUUCCUGGAUAACCACGGACGCCGCUGUUUUGUUGUCACGCAAGCACAGUUAAAAAUGAUCUCUUUUUAUCUACCGAACUAAUCAAGAGUUCCAGUCCAGGACAUCAUACAUCAAAAUUGGUGUGGGUCCGCCUUUCUAAUGGUCGUAAUUUACUCAUUAAUGGAGGGUCCACCAAACUAACGGUCCGAUGUGUCUGAUUAAUGUGAGAAUUUCUAGUAAAUCCUCUAUUCUUGAUCCCUAUUUUCCUUUUAGUAUAUAAUAGAUAGAUACCAUUGCAUAUUAGCGUGGGUGAGGUGUGGGCGGCUGUUUAUCUUGGUAGUUAAGUCUUGGAUUUAGUAUUUUUCUUUCGGAUACAUGCUUGUUGCUAUUUCAGAACAUUGAAACUUCAUUUAGAAUUUUGUUUCCUAUGUGCUUCAUGCAAAUGAAACUGCAGUAAAGAUACAAACUAUGCUUGUCCUGAAUGUGCAUAGCCUUUUUAUGCAUACAAUUAGUGGAACCUUUUACAUGUCCAGUGUGCGCAUGUGUCCAGGAACUAAGCUUUUGCAUGUCCUGUGUAUUCUAAAGCUUAGUCUUUUGUUAUUGGGCAAGUACUUGAAACAGUGUCUUGGUUUGCCAGUCGUAGAAUCAUUUAUGAAUAGCAUAGGUGUUGCCUUCACUUGUAUUCCUACGCAUAGUCCAAUACUUCUUUUUCCUUGAUCUAAUGCUCCUUUUUCGUUAAGACAAGCAAAAUGGAAUCACAUCCUGGAUUAUCUCUAUGGUCCUACAUCAUCUUUCAUAGACUAAUUAAGUUAUAACCGGCUUGCAUUGUUUAGGAGAAAUGUACCUUUCCAUGUGUAAAGUGGUUAGACCUGGCAUUACUGUUCAAUAUUUUGUACUCAACAGGAAUCUUGCUAUAGAUAUACACUGGAAGUCUAAAAUCAAUACUAGUAGAAACAGGUGUUCUGUCAACGACGCAUCUAUUUUGUUGCAUGUCUCGGGCCACUCAAUUUGUGAUUAAAUAGGUGUUUUGCAUAUAUGUUUGCCAACUGAUUGACCAUGUAAGACUGGAAACAGCACCAUCUUUGUGACAUCUAACUUGUUCUAUUUUUUUUUUUGCAGAAAGUGCUAGUACAUUGUAUAAGAACAUUGACACAUGUGACUGGGAGCCCAAAAGACUAGUAACACUAGUAGAAAACGGAGCUUUAAAACCGGUUCGUAAGGGCCUUUAGUGCCGGUUCCAUAACCGGCACUAAUUGGUGGGCACUAAAGGCCCCCCCCUUU